GGACAACCUACCCUUAGGACCGGGAUAACCCCGGGAAACUGGGGACAAUCCCGGAUAGGUGAAGUGGCCUGGAAUGGUGCUUCACUGAAAGGCUCUUCGGAGCGCCUAAGGAUGGGUCUGCGGCCGAUUAGGUAGUUGGUAGGGUAACGGCCUACCAAGCCGAUAAUCGGUACGGGUUGUGAGAGCAAGAGCCCGGAGAUGGAACCUGAGACAAGGUUCCAGGCCCUACGGGGCGCAGCAGGCGCGAAACCUCCGCAAUGCACGCAAGUGCGACGGGGGGACCCCAAGUGCCACUCUUAACGGGGUGGCUUUUCAGGAGUGUAAAAAGCUCCUGGAAUAAGGGCUGGGCAAGACCGGUGCCAGCCGCCGCGGUAACACCGGCAGCUCGAGUGGUAGCCGCGUUUAUUGGGCCUAAAGCGUCCGUAGCCGGUCCGAUAAGUCUCUGGUGAAAGCCCACAGCUCAACUGUGGGAAUCGCUGGAGAUACUAUCGGACUUGAGGCCGGGAGAGGCUGGAGGUACUCCCAGGGUAGGGGUGAAAUCCUAUAAUCCUGGGAGGACCACCUGUGGCGAAGGCGUCCAGCUGGAACGGACCUGACGGUGAGGGACGAAAGCCAGGGGCGCGAACCGGAUUAGAUACCCGGGUAGUCCUGGCCAUAAACGAUGCGGACUUGGUGUUGGGACGGCUUUGAGCUGUCCCAGUGCCGAAAGGGAAGCUGUUAAGUCCGCCGCCUGGGAAAGUACGGCCGCAAGGGCUGAAACU
rnacentral:rRNA from 1 species